rnacentral:lncRNA from 1 species
UCUUCACAAAUUUGAGAGGAUUAUUGGUUGGUUUGUAAUCAUGCAUAUGUGUUGAAUAUCAUUAACUGCUUUUGCUACAUCUGUUGAAAAGAUCAUAGGGUUUUUAUGUUUCCCUUUGUUAAUGUGGUGAAUUACACAGACUGAUUUUUUUUCCCCCAGUAAAGACCAGUCUGACUAUGUUGCCCAGGCUGGUCUUGCAAUCCUGGGCUCAAGCAAUCCUCCAGUCUCGACCUCCCAAAGUGCUGAGAUUUCAGGCUUGAGCCACACCGCACGCUUGUUAGACUCUUGGUUACAAAGUUACAUAUGUUUUGAUGGUUCACCAAACCCACUUUUCCCUUAAGCUUGUUAUUUUUAUUGAAUAAUUUUGCAGAAUUUUGGGGGUUUUUCAGGAACAUAUAUCACAUGAUUAUAGGAGUGUUUGUAAAGUAUUUCAAAAAGUGUGGGGAAAAUAUCCUUCCAUCCUACCUCUUCUUUUUGUCCUUCCUUUCUUGUAGGAGGCAGCCUA